CCGCCGCAGCCACGUCCACGGUCGCCACGGCCAUCGCCGCAAGCCAUCCGCUGUCGCAGCCUGCAGCCACCAGCACCCGCUCUCGCCGCCCGCGAGCUCCAUGUCGCCGGCCACGACUCCACACCGCCGCCGGUCUCCAUGACGCCCUCCCGCUGCCGCACAACGCUGGCCUCCACGACAGCCACACGUCGCUGGCCUCCACGACGCUUGCACGGCAGGCCCCGCCACCCACGGGGCCGCGCGACCGCCUUCACGACGCCUCGACCACCACGGCCGCUGUCUCGCCAGCCAGCCGCCGCAGUCGAUACCGCCACAGCCGCCGCCGCCGUCACUGCCGCCGUCGGUAACCGCAACCACCGCCAGCCAGAUCUGACUAGAGGCGUCGUUGCCUCCUCCCGCAUCGCCAGCGUCACCACCAGCUCUUGCGGCACCUCCACCGCCGCAUCCGUCGUCCGGCCGCGCCUCCGUGCUCGGUACCAGAGGCAGCUCCGGCAGCGUCGCCCGCCAGGUUGCCGCCGACCAGUCGCCGCCGCCCAAAACCACCGCCAAACCUCGCCGCCGAGCUGCCAGGACGCCGCCGCCCGUCGCUGGGGGACCGGAUCCGGCCACCACGGCACCGGAUCUAGACGCCACGGCACCGGAUCCGGUCGGCGCCGACACCAUGCCCUUAGCUCAUGCCGUGCCAACGUCCUUACCGUCUUGGCCGCGAGCGAGGGAGAGAGAGCCCCGCCGCCGCCGUCCUUGCAGCCGCCCGGCUUUGCCGGCGGCGGCUCGGGCAGCGGCGAGGCUGGGGAGGGGAGGAGAAAGGCGGGGACGGCGCGGCUUGUUCGCCGCCCGCGUCGCCCCCGGGACAGGGCGACCGGGCGAGUUGUAGCCGUGGCUGGACCUUCUCUGCGGUAGUAGUGGCUAC
rnacentral:lncRNA from 1 species